AUCUUUGCGCAGUGGCAGUAUCGUAGCCAAUGAGGUUUAUCCGAGGCGCGAUUACAGCUAC
rnacentral:snRNA from 1 species